CGUUAACCGCACUGCUGCCCGGAUACGAUAACGCAACGUAACGGGGAACGCGUGUUGCCCUGCCAUGCCGACGAUAACACGACCUCCGUCACGGCGUUGGGUCCGCCUGUAAUUACGCUUCGUAUUAAUCUAUCAUCCUGAUAUUGCGCGUGGGGAAAAUUUUCCAGAUAUCCUGCAGAAACGCGGGCCAUAUAGGGUUCCGCGAAAGCCCGAUAGAAUUACCUUAAUUAAUUACAUCGAUGGUAUGUGUGUGUAUGUGUGUGUGUGUGUCCGUUUCGCGAACUGCUUUUCAGCCGGCGUGGUGGCUACGUCACCUUCCCAAAAAUGCUCAUCAAUUUUUAUCGAAAUUCUAAAGGGAAACGGUAAAUGAGCCAAUUUCAUAGCGAGCCGGGGGAAGAUAUGGAUUCUAAUGAAAAUUGAAAACCUGAACAAGGAUCAAUUGAAAAUUUGAUGGAAGAUGAGUAAUGAUGCGAAAAAAAAUUUCAUUCCGUCUGAUAGAUCGGCAUAACUUCAAUGAUCGAUGGCUGGUGAUUAAUGAACUAAAAUCAUCGUGAGUCGUAGCCCUUCUUUUCCAGCUACCUGCCUCAAUACCGCUGUGCUAUUGAAUAAUAGAAUGACGCAUAUGAGCAAGAAAAGGGAUUGCUAUAUGGUGCUGGAAUAGCUGAUUAACCGAUAAAAAUUGCGACGUCAGGGAUGUACGCAAGCCAAAUGCUCGGAUGGCAAUCGCCCAUGGACUGCACGCGGUAACUCCACUAUUUCCGGCGGAAAUCAUUAGAAAAAAUUUCAAAGUGUACUUGAAAACAUAAGUAAAAUAUCCUCCAAGUUUAAACAUUUUGUGAUUAUUCCUUCCUGGUUAAAAAAAUCAUGAAA